rnacentral:rRNA from 1 species
GACGAACGCUGGCGGCGUGCUUAACACAUGCAAGUCGAACGGAAAGGCCCUGCUUUUGUGGGGUGCUCGAGUGGCGAACGGGUGAGUAACACGUGAGUAACCUGCCCUUGACUUUGGGAUAACUUCAGGAAACUGGGGCUAAUACCGGAUAGGAGCUCCUGCUUCAUGGUGUGGGUUGGAAAGUUUCGGCGGUUGGGGAUGGACUCGCGGCUUAUCAGCUUGUUGGUGGGGUAGUGUCUUACCAAGGCUUUGACGGGUAGCCGGCCUGAGAGGGUGACCGGCCACAUUGGGACUGAGAUACGGCCAAGACUCAUACGGGAGGCAGCAGUGGGGAAUAUUGCACAAUGGGCGGAAGCCUGAUGCAGCAACGCCGCGUGCGGGAUGACGGCCUUCGGGUUGUAAACCGCUUUCGCCUGUGACGAAGAGUGAGUGACGGUAAUGGGUAAAGAAGCACCGGCUAACUACGUG